UACGUAGGGGGCAAGCGUUGUCCGGAUUUAUUGGGCGUAAAGAGCGUGUAGGCGGCCUGACAGGUCUGCUGUGAAAACUCGAGGCUCAACCUCGAGAUGUCGGCGGAAACCGUCUGGCUAGAGUCCGGAAGAGGCGAGUGGAAUUCCUGGUGUAGCGGUGAAAUGCGCAGAUAUCAGGAGGAACACCAAUUGCGAAGGCAGCUCGCUGGGACGUAACUGACGCUGAGACGCGAAAGCGUGGGGAGCAAACAGG
rnacentral:rRNA from 1 species